CCUCCGAUAGCUCAAUGGUAGAGCGCCUGAUGUAUGUUGGCUGAGCGACCGUAUCUACACAUGUACAGUCGAGAGAUGUUGGUUCGAUUCCAACUCGGAGGA
rfam:Stereum hirsutum FP-91666 SS1 unplaced genomic scaffold STEHIscaffold_2, whole genome shotgun sequence.